GUGGGAACCUGCCUUUAGGUUCGGAAUAACUCAGAGAAAUUUGAGCUAAUACCGGAUAAUGUCUUCGGACCAAAGAUUUAUCGCCUUUAGAUGGGCCCGCGUUGGAUUAGCUAGUUGGUGGGGUAAAGGCCUACCAAGGCGACGAUCCAUAGCUGGUCUGAGAGGAUGAUCAGCCACACUGGGACUGAGACACGGCCCAGACUCCUACGGGAGGCAGCAGUGGGGAAUAUUGGACAAUGGGCGAAAGCCUGAUCCAGCAAUGCCGCGUGAGUGAUGAAGGCCUUAGGGUUGUAAAGCUCUUUUACCAGGGAUGAUAAUGACAGUACCUGGAGAAUAAGCUCCGGCUAACUCCGUGCCAGCAGCCGCGGUAAUACGGAGGGAGCUAGCGUUGUUCGGAAUUACUGGGCGUAAAGCGCGCGUAGGCGGCCUACCAAGUCAGGGGUGAAAUCCCGGGGCUCAACCCCGGAACUGCCCUUGAAACUGGUAAGCUA
rnacentral:rRNA from 2 species